AAUAUCUCCUCAGAAACAGAACUCCAGUUUAUUUCAAUGAAAUAGAAGCUAGCAUUUUCCAAGAUAUCCUACCUUGUUUCCUCCCUUCCCAGAAACUAUCCCAUUUCUUAUUGUUAUGUAACAUUUCAUUUCACAAAUUGCUACUUGAACACUGGCCUUUAAAAUAUGAACACUGGUUUUCCUGACUCUUAGCUGCCCAAGAAGAGUAAAUCUUCGGAAGUUUCGAGUCUAGAUAAAGCAAGUCCCAGGGGAAAGGAGCUCAUUCCUCAUCUCCUCCACCACCAAGAUGAAGGUGCUAAAACUAAAAUGCAGAGAAUUUGAAUGACUGAGCCAAGAUCAUCAUGGAAAGUUGGAGGCAGAGAUUUUGGAACUGUACGCUUUGGUGGCUAUUGGUGGCUCACCCACACCUGCUUGGCAUUUUGACAUUCAUAGAGACACCACGCCAACCAGAUUUGUGGUUCUGAAUUGCAGCCUGAAGAGUGACCGUCAUUGGCCAGGGAGAUCUCGCUUUUGUUUGAUUCCUGGUGCCACUUGCUGUCACAGAUUCCACCUUGAAAAGGAGGACCUGGGAUAAAGAUUUGGAACUCUUAAGGAGAGUCGUGUUCACAAAUCUUUGGGAGGGACCACGGCAGGAGGCCUAUUUGGUCUUUUUCUUUCCUUUCUUAAAAGCGAUAUGAGCAUCAAACUAUUUACAGCCUUAAGUAAACCUGCAGUUCAGGACACUGAAGCAUACAUAAUACACUCCUCUCAACUGAACAGUGCAUAAGCAGGCACUCUGUAGAUUUCUUCACACAGGAUUCAUGUGACUCUAAUUAAGAGGAUUGGCACAGUUGGCUCCCUGAAAAAAGGCUUAACUCAGGUUACCACCUUAAUAUGAAUAACAUUUUUCUAAUUAAAAACAGAAAGAGGAACAAUGAUUUCUUAAUGUACUUUCUGUGCUUACGGUCCACCUUGUCACACUGCACCUAACCUUACAUCUUGGAGUCUGUUCUCAUGUGCGUAUUCAGAUCAUAUAUCAAUAUAUUAAAUAUGCAAAUCCCUGCCCCCUUAUGGUCCUAGUGUUGCCGAGAUGUGCAGAGCAUUGUGGAUGGAUUGCAGCCUGUUUUCUUUUGCUGAUGGCUACUUUGACACGCUCAAUACUUGUGCUUUGGAGCUUUUAAGAUUCGACUUAUAGAACCUUGUACUUCGGAUAUGCAUUAUCCUCUGAAAAGGAAAACAUAUAACCUUUAGGGAAAAAAUGUGGACUCUGGGAGUCCUCGUUUAAGCUUCCUGAAAAGACUACCUCAUGGGCUGCCAAUCAUGUGCCUUCCACAGACCAUUUCCUCUGCUGCUGAAAGAAAAUGCGUAAUUACCAGAGAAAAUGUCACUUUGCAUGAUGUACAGGUGAUGUGGGAAAUGAGGCACAACCACAAAAAGCAACAAACAUUCCCAAAUACCUGCCUUAUCUGUGCUUCCUUAAGAGCCAAAUGCCCUUUUGGGGAACAGACCUGUCCCUAGUAGCAUUUUCGAUGACUCCCAGCCCUUCUUAUAUUUCCUUGUCAAUUAAAAAUGAUAAAUUAAGCUUCUUGCAGGGCAGACAAUCAGCCAGCCAGUGUGAACCAUAUGAAGACCCAAGAUUUUGGAUGAAUCAGAAUCAGCCUGAAGAAUUCAUCUGGUGACUCCGGGAACUGACCGUCAGCCAGAGGAACAUCUGAGAUGUCGCAUGCGGCACCCAGGCAUUCUGACGAGCCACUGGCAUUAAGAAAGUUGCAGUGACAUUUCCCCGCAGCCUAUGCUUCCUUCCUGGCUCCUGGCAUUGGAAACAAAUGGAGAGAAAGACUUCUGGAAGAAGAGGACCACUGAAACAAGGCCGUAACUUUGGCCCUGGAGAUGAACACGUUUGUCCCUGUAGGCGGAGGAGGGAGAACGACUAAACGGAUCAUCUCUCUCACCAAAUGAACCUCUACUUUCCAGGGAAGAAAAGCAGGGGGCUGCUCUGACUUUGCCAAGUGAACGAAUGUUUCUCCAUGAACAUGAGUACUUUUGGUGCCUUUAUUCAGGAAGCUUUUACAUUUGAAUAAUUCAAAAUACUUCAUAAAAUACUUGUUUUUUACUAUGGCGUCGCAGUAGUUAUAAUCAAAGAAAAAUCUUAUUUAAGACAGAGCCAUGAAUAAAAGUUAUUUACAAACCUAUUCAAAGAGGCAAAGUAUAAUGGAAAACAUACAAAGGCUUGUUUUUACCUUUGAAGCAAAACUUUGGCAGAUUGUAUUUUGGAUUCUACAUAUUUCACUUACGGUUACAACCGAUAUUCAUGAAAUGCACUGACAGGAGUCUAACACCAACUUUAAAAAGAUGAAGUAUCUCUUCCUUAAUUAAUGUCUACAAAGAGAUUUAAUGAUGAAAAGUGCCAUUAAGUGCCAAGUACUAUUAAUUAUUUUCUGCUGCAAGAGGCAUAGAGUCCUCAUUAUAUACUGUUUUAAAUAUUAUAAAAUAUUUACAAAAUAAGUUUUAAAAAAUUGCAAACAAGCCAAAUAAAAAAGCAUUUUCCUUUUGAGGUGAAACUUAAGAUCAAAACCCAAAGAAAAACUCAUUUGCAUCCUACAUGAGUAGGCUUCAAUGAAUGCUCCAAAGAUACCUGGCACUUUGCUUAUUCUUUUUCCAUAUUCCAUGUACCUCUGCUGUCUGCAUAAACUGAAGCCCACCGCUCUCACCAUUUACGGAACUGCCUUGGCUGCUCAAGGGACCAGAUGUUCCCUGGGGUUGCAACCCACUGCUCCUGCAUUUAGCCUCCUGGCUGGCUGGUUGCUUGCUUGGAUUCAGCCCAGUACAGAUGGCAUCACCACUAAAUCAGAGAAGGAUGACACACGGUUUCCUGAUCCUCCUUCAAGUUGCUACUUUGCUUGUAAGAGCUCAUUUCCUGGGAAUCCAAAUAAUUAAGUUUCACCUGUGCCAUGUAUUCCAUAAUUACAUUAUUUUGUUAAUUAUGCUUGAUGACAAAGUUAUCAAAAUUCAACCUGAUCAAAACCAAAAUAAAAUCUGGAAG